rnacentral:rRNA from 1 species
GGACCCGCACAAGUAGUGGAGCAUGUGGUUUAAUUCGAAGAUACGCGCAGAACCUUACCAACACUUGACAUGUUUGUCGCGACUUUAAGAGAUUAAAGUCUUCGGUUCGGCCGGACAAAACACAGGUGCUGCAUGGCUGUCGUCAGCUCGUGUCGUGAGAUGUUGGGUUAAGUCCCGCAACGAGCGCAACCCUCACUUUUAGUUGCCAUCAUUUAGUUGGGCACUCUGAAAGAACUGCCAGUGAUAAGCUGGAGGAAGGUGGGGAUGACGUCAAGUCCUCAUGGCCCUUACGUGUUGGGCUACACACGUGCUACAAUGGCAUUUACAAUAGGAAGCAAGACGGCGACGUCAAGCAAAUCCUAAAAAAUGCCUCAGUUCGGAUUGUACUCUGCAACUCGAGUACAUGAAGCUGGAAUU